CAUGUCAGCGCGCUUUGCUGACAUGUCAACAAAUCGCGUCCUCUGGAGCGCGAUUUGUGUCCACGUCAGUAAAGUGCGCUGACGUGG
rfam:Gossypium hirsutum cultivar TM-1 chromosome 22, whole genome shotgun sequence